rnacentral:rRNA from 1 species
CCUACGGGGUGCAGCAGUGAGGAAUAUUGGUCAAUGGACGAGAGUCUGAACCAGCCAAGUAGCGUGAAGGAUGACUGCCCUAUGGGUUGUAAACUUCUUUUAUAUGGGAAUAAAAUGUUCCACGUGUGGGAUUUUGUAUGUACCAUAUGAAUAAGGAUAGGCUAACGCCGUGCCAGCAGCCGCGGUAAUACGGAGGAUCCGAGCGUUAUCCGGAUUUAUUGGGGUGAAAGGGAGCGUAGGUGGAUUGUUAAGUCAGUUGUGAAAGUUUGCGGCUCAACCGUAAAAUUGCAGUUGAAACUGGCAGUCUUGAGUACAGUAGAGGUGGGCGGAAUUCGUGGUGUAGCUGUGAAAUGCUUAGAUAUCACGAAGAACUCCGAUUGCGAAGGCAGUUCACUGGACUGCAACUGACACUGAGGCUCGAAAGUGUGGGUAUCAAACAGGAUUAGAGACCCUGGUAGUC